GAAGAAGUCAAAAUGGAUCAUCCGUUACUUCAUCUCAGUAAAUUUGCAGACGAUAAAGCAGAGGAGGUCACAACAUUUUUGCAUAUUUUUGAAACCAUCAAAAAAUUUAUAAAUUUCAGAUGUUUUAUUCAAUAAAAGAAAAAAUCGACAGGUUAAUUUGAGAAGGCCACAUCGAAUUACAGAUGAUAAUUUGUUCACCAUCAGACAAUAUACCAUUGAAAGCAUGAAAAAAAAUAGUAGAAAUAUA
rnacentral:lncRNA from 1 species